rnacentral:rRNA from 1 species
UACGUAGGGGGCAAGCGUUGUCCGGAAUCAUUGGGCGUAAAGAGCGCGUAGGCGGUCCGGUAAGUCCGCUGUGAAAGUCCGGGGCUCAACCCCGGGAGGCGGGCGGAUACUGUCGGGCUAGAGUCCGGAAGAGGCGAGUGGAAUUCCUGGUGUAGCGGUGAAAUGCGCAGAUAUCAGGAGGAACACCAGCGGCGAAGGCGGCGCUCUGGGCCGGUACUGACGCUGAGGAGCGAAAGCGUGGGUAGCAAACAGG